UACAGAGGGUGCGAGCGUUAAUCGGAAUUACUGGGCGUAAAGGGCGCGUAGGCGGUUGUAUAUGUGGGAUGUGAAAGCCCCGGGCUUAACCUGGGAAGUGCAUACCAAACUGUACGACUAGAGUAUAUGAGAGGGUAGUGGAAUUCCCGGUGUAGCGGUGAAAUGCGUAGAGAUCGGGAGGAACGCCAAUGGCGAAGGCAGCUACCUGGCAUAAUACUGACGCUGAGGCGCGAAAGCGUGGGGAGCAAACAGG
rnacentral:rRNA from 1 species